UACGAAGGGGGCUAGCGUUGCUCGGAAUGGCUGGGCGUAAAGGGCGCGUAGGCGGAUGGCUUUGUCGGGCGUGAAAUUCCAGGGCUUAACCUUGGGGCUGCGUUCGAGACGGGUUGUCUUGAGUGGGGAAGAGGGUCGUGGAAUUCCCAGUGUAGAGGUGAAAUUCGUAGAUAUUGGGAAGAACACCGGUGGCGAAGGCGGCGACCUGGUCCUUUACUGACGCUGAGGCGCGAAAGCGUGGGGAGCAAACAGG
rnacentral:rRNA from 1 species